UAUUGCACAAUGGGCGCAAGCCUGAUGCAGCCAUGCCGCGUGUAUGAAGAAGGCCUUCGGGUUGUAAAGUACUUUCAGUUGUGAGGAAGGGUGUGUAGUUAAUAGCUGCACAUCUUGACGUUAGCAACAGAAGAAGCACCGGCUAACUCCGUGCCAGCAGCCGCGGUAAUACGGAGGGUGCGAGCGUUAAUCGGAAUUACUGGGCGUAAAGCGCAUGCAGGUGGUUCAUUAAGUCAGAUGUGAAAGCCCGGGGCUCAACCUCGGAACUGCAUUUGAAACUGCUGAACUAGAGUACUGUAGAGGGGGGUAGAAUUUCAGGUGUAGCGGUGAAAUGCGUAGAGAUCUGAAGGAAUACCAGUGGCGAAGGCGGCCCCCUGGACAGAUACUGACACUCAGAUGCGAA
rnacentral:rRNA from 1 species